GGAUGUGCGGGCGAUACGGCUGCGACAUCUGUCACCCCAUUGAUCGCCAGGGUUCAUUCGGCUGAUCUGGCUGGCUAGGCAGGUGUCCCCCUCCUCCCUCACCGAUCCAUGUGCAUCCCUCCUGAAGCUGCGCGCUCAGUAGAAGAGGAUGACCUUCCCCCCAGAGGAGAGGACCAAUCUUCGGUCAAGGGUAUACGAGUAGCUGCACUCCCCUGCUAGAACCUGCAAACAAGCUCUCAAGAAUUCAUUCAUAGUGACUAUAGUUAAUACUGCUGUAUAUAUUAGAGAAUUGCUAAGACAGGAGAUCUUAAAAGUUC
rnacentral:snRNA from 1 species